UACAGAAGGGACAAGCGUUAUUCGGAAUUAUUGGGCGGAAAAAACGCGUAGACGGCUUUGCAAGUGACGGGUGAAAUCCCUCGGCUUAACCGAGGAACUGCCUGUCAAACUGCAUGGCUUGAGACCGGGAGAGAUGAGUGGAAUUCCCAGUGUAGCGGUGAAAUGCGUAGAUAUUGGGAGGAACACCAGUGGCGAAGACGGCUCACUGAGCCGGUACUGACGCUGAUGCGCGAAAGCGUGGGGAGCAAACAGG
rnacentral:rRNA from 1 species